rnacentral:rRNA from 1 species
UGCAUGGGGUGCAAACGUUGCUCGGAAUUAUUGGGCGUAAAGCGCACGUAGGCAGUUUGUUAAGUCGGAUGUGAAAUCCCUCGGCUCAACUGAGGAAGUGCAUCCGAAACUGGCAAGCUUGAGUACGAAAGAGGGUCGCGGAAUUCCCGGUGUAGAGGUGAAAGUCGUAGAGAUCGGGAGGAACACCGGUGGCGAAGGCGGCGACCUGGGUCGAUACUGACGCUGAGGUGCGAAAGCGUGGGGAGCAAACAGG